UACGAGGGGGGCAAGCGUUGUUCGGAAUUAUUGGGCGUAAAGGGCGCGUAGGCGGGUCUUUAAGUCAGGGGUGAAAUCCUGGAGCUCAACUCCAGAACUGCCUUUGAUACUGAAGAUCUUGAGUUCGGGAGAGGUGAGUGGAACUGCGAGUGUAGAGGUGAAAUUCGUAGAUAUUCGCAAGAACACCAGUGGCGAAGGCGGCUCACUGGCCCGGUACUGACGCUGAGGCACGAAAGCGUGGGGAGCAAACAGG
rnacentral:rRNA from 1 species